GCCGCAUCGCAAAGGUUCAGAGAGUGCCCGCCGGGACCACAGGGCAGAAAUGCUACGGUGGCAGCGGGGGGUGCGGGGGUGGGGGAGGCUAACACGUGGACAGUGGCAGGGAUGGGUGCUGCGCGUGGAGCCCACAGUCACAGCUGGCGGGAACCGGCCUGUGUCACUGUUCGCCCAGCUCCCUGCUUGCAGGUCCCGGCCUGCACCCCUGCAUUCCCCUCCCGCCUCCCGCCGCAUUCACUUCAAGGCCCGCCAGUCAUCCCGCAGCCCGGACCGCGCCUCACCAGGAUCCCCUCGUCCCGGCCUGCACUCCUGUGCAUUCACCCCUGAGAAGCGGAGCCUGUGCUACCGGCUUUCACCCUGCGCCCCAGGCCCGCGCAGCCCGCUGCAUUCAUCCCUAAGACGCAGAACUCGCGCACCCUGCCUGCCCCCUUGAGACGGGAACCCGCGCCCCGGCCAGUCUCCGGCCGCGUUCGUACAUCCCCGGCCCUGCAGGUCGAUUACCUGAGAGGAACCCAGCCAUGGACCCUGUGCAUGAGUGGCCACCUGCUGCUCCAGCCUUGGACUGUCUCCAGGCCUUCAAAAGGGCUUCUAAGUGGGGCCUGGAGUGGCUCUUUGAAGGUAAGGAGACCUGAAGAGAGAGCACAUCCCCCAGCUGGAGCACUCCCCUCAUGCUCCCCUCAAUCUGUGCUGGCUCCUCCCACAGGUCUCCACAGGUGUGUGGGAGCCCAAGCCCGCAGGCCCUGCUCAGCAAACUGAAGGGACAAAGCAAAGGGCCUCUAUCUGCCUUUCCCUCUCCUUGCCUGUGGAUAGGUCCCACCUGAGGGAUCUGGCCCCUGGGCUUGGGGACCAACUGGGGGAUGGGCCAGACCAGCAGUGCAGCCCCUAGGGGAGCAACAAGGGGCUGCUAUGAGAAAGGGGAGGGGAAAGCAAGAUGACUGGCACAAGGGUGCUGAGCAGGUAGGUCACUGACCCUCAUGAGGGCUGUGAGAAGGACCCUGCCCACAGGAGCAGGGUGGUGGGCUGGACGAUCUGGCCUUGGAACAGGACGGGUCGUGCCCACAAGCACAGGCGUGCACAGGGCCCAGCGAGCAGUCUUUCCAUGACCUCCUGCCCCUGCAAUGAGGACCUGAGGACCCAUGGCUUCCUCCCUCCCGUCCCUCCCCUGGUGGCUUCUCUCUGGCAUGUGUGGAGUCAGAUAAAAUUCUGGUUGGACCACGCCUUUCUCCAACCCCCUGGCUGACUGAGGCUACCAUGCCAGGCAGGGCUUCUAGAAGUUUCCUGGCCAUUCAAGGCCCAGGGUUCCUACCGGAGCUGUAUGCCUGGGUGCUGAAGGUGGAGGGGCCCCGAUCACCACUGCUCCCAGAAGAGCCAGCCAGGGCUACAGGGCGUGGCAAGGCUGGGUGACAGCGCCUCACGGGCCCUGUAACCUGUAGGCAGCUCUCCAAGGGAAGAGUGGGUGGCCCUGCUGUCUGGAGCAGCCACAGGAACCAGGGUGUUGGCUUCAGGAGGCUCCAGGUGCUGCUGAUGGUGUAAUCACCAAACCCAGAGACGUACAGAAACCAAUGUUUAGGGGUGACCAAGGAGGACCAGCGCCUCCAGCGAGGAGUAGGAGCCCCUGCGCUCAGAGCCCACCUGGACAGGGCAACCCCCGGGCCACCCACGGCUCUGUGGGUGGGAAAGAAUGCUUUCUCCUGACAGCUACUGAGUUUGGACUGUCUAUGAACAGCAUUGUAGAGACAACAGCUGGCUGUGAUGUGGGGAAGGAGUCGAGACCAACCAGUCAAUAAAAGGUUUGAGAAUUCAAAUGAUUGCUUAUGAACAGUUUACCUGGAUAAGGCAAUAAAGCAGAAUAAACUACUCUCUA